rnacentral:snoRNA from 2 species
AUGACCUUACUUGAACAAGAUCUGUUCUAUAGGCUCGUACCAUUGUAUCCUUGAUUUCUAAGGAGACAGGAAACCAAGCUUGGUGGAUGAAAUUUGGCCAUGAGGCUAGAGCGUGACUAACAGCUUUGGUGUGACGCAGUAGAUGAUCGUUCUCAGGCCUCUAGUGGGUUUGGGGUGGUCUCUUAGCUUUCUGACAGACU